GCCAGGUGUGGUGGUGUGUGCCUGUAAUCCCAGCUACUCAGGAGGCUGAGGCAGAAGGAUCUCUUGAGCAUAGGAGUUUGAAGCUGCAGUGGGCUAUGAUUGUGCCACUGCUGUACAGCCUGGGCAAUAGAGUGAGACUCUGUCUCUG
rnacentral:SRP_RNA from 1 species